AGACCCGAAACCCGGUGAUCUAGCCAUGGGCAGGUUGAAGGUUGGGUAACACUAACUGGAGGACCGAACCGACUAAUGUUGAAAAAUUAGCGGAUGACCUGUGGCUGGGGGUGAAAGGCCAAUCAAACCGGGAGAUAGCUGGUUCUCCCCGAAAGCUAUUUAGGUAGCGCCUCGUGAAUUCAUCUCCGGGGGUAGAGCACUGUUUCGGCUAGGGGGCCAUCCCGGCUUACCAACCCGAUGCAAACUGCGAAUACCGGAGAAUGUUAUCACGGGAGACACACGGCGGGUGCUAACGUCCGUCGUGAAGAGGGAAACAACCCAGACCGCCAGCUAAGGUCCCAAAGUCAUGGUUAAGUGGGAAACGAUGUGGGAAGGCCCAGACAGCCAGGAUGUUGGCUUAGAAGCAGCCAUCAUUUAAAGAAAGCGUAAUAGCUCACUGGUCGAGUCGGCCUGCGCGGAAGAUGUAACGGGGCUAAACCAUGCACCGAAGCUGCGGCAGCGACGCUUAUGCGUUGUUGGGUAGGGGAGCGUUCUGUAAGCCUGUGAAGGUGGCCUGUGA
rnacentral:rRNA from 2 species